CAGAGCCCGCCAGCCCCCUCCAGAACCUUCCGCCCCGCCCCCUGCGCCGCUCCGACCAAUCGCCGCCGCCCAGUCCGCGACGCGCGACAUCCGGGGCGGGGCCACGCUGCCAACGGCCGCCCGCCCACGGCCACGCCCCUUCCCGCUACCCCCCGGCAACCCAUCCCGGCGGCGGCGCGCGCACCGAGCGAAGGAGGCCCCGCCCACUCUCUGCGAGGAGCCAAUCGCGACCUUCUUUGACUGCCUUUGCUGACCCGGCCUGCGGCGAGUCCCGUCCGAAGCCUGGGUCAAUAGGUUACGACACUGCCCUCCGGCAAGGGGCAGGGCUGGAGGCGGCCACGCCCAUCAGAGCUGCCCCGCCCUGCCCCAGGUGACAGUAGAGCUGGUCGCACACAUCUCACCGGGCUCCGGGGGUGGGUUCCCCUCCGGGUGAUUCUGAGCAAGUUGACUAAUCUUUCCUUGCCGCAGCUUUCCCCCCCUACGCCGACUUAUGGAACAGGGGAAUAAAAACACCCACCGUUCUCUUGGCUGUGGGGAGAAUGCAAUUAGGAGCCCCAGGACUGUCCCUGUCCUCACCAUAAAGCAGGGUGAGGCUCCAGGACGAAAGCUCACUUCUCCGGAGUAAUCUUCCCUCCGGGGGAAAAAGGCUCCUCCUCAUGCCUUUCGCGUUACCUGCCAUUGAAAUCUGAAGUUAUCUCGUUCUUUGACUUUUCGUGUUCAAUUCACCUCCCUCCUGGCCUGCAGUUGUCAGUGCUGGGUCUCCAGUGCCUGGAACAGUAUCUGGUGCCCGGCCACAGUGGACGCUCGCUUCACCUCUCCCACAACUCUGAACCAGCUCCAUCGCAUACACCAGAACAAACCAAGCCAGGUUCCCAGAGAAAUCAAGAUCCUACCUACUUGCAUGUGGGAAAUACAAAAGGAGCCUGUAAGAUAGACAGACACACCAGAGUUUCAUCAUCCAAAUGACCCUGGGUUCCACCAGAUCCGAGAUCCAAGGAGCCCUCGCUCAUCCUUCAGUGCUGCCACUGCGCCAGGCUUUUCUGCAAUUUCCCCUUUGGAAAUUGCCUGAAGGGGCUUGUCAUAGCUGGCUCAGCAAACGUGAACUGUGACUGUUGCGAAUUAGCCACUGUGCUGGGGAUGCUGGGGACAGAAGGAGGGUCUAGCUGUCCCUAACUGACAGGCACAGUGAGAGCCUCAGUAGAGUAUCAUGAAUGGUUCGAACAAAGUGGCCAGUCUUCAUUCUGAAGGUGGAUAUUAUUUCUGACAGCCUGGUUAGUGGAAGCCAGAUGAGGCCAAUAAGGGGUCCUUGCAUCUGCAAUAUCCAUUUAAAAAAAAAAAAAAGGAGGAAUUCUUCUUUCUGGGCUAGAUCCUGCCUUUUUAUGAGCUUCUUGUGGAUGAAAAGAGGGUGGAAAUUAUUUGUGUGCCCUUGCUGGCACACGAUAUCGUAGGAUCACAGAAUGAUUUUGUGCCUUUUGAGUGAGUAUAAGGCUCAGGAAAGCAGUCUCAAAAGGUACAUUCCAGGAUGUUCUGAGUCCGUAGGAAUGUACAUGGACUCUCUCCAAAAUGACAUCUGUUUGGACCCCACACACCUUAUUGGCUGCAAUGCAGCAUGGCAGAAGACACACGGACCCAGCCCACAUUAGAGAAGCUGAAAAUUGACGGGCAAAGUAGCAAAACGUGGCUAGAUUUUAGCAGUUCAAAUGUGCCCCUCAGCGCUGCACCAUUAAGAUGUUUCAAGUAACUCAACUUGGUAGGGUUUUAAUUUUUGGUUUCUAGGUGAUUACUCCUCUUGUCCCCCCUCAGUGAGGGCAGGGAGUGAAGGCUGUCAGGACACAAAGGAUCUCAAGAUACCGUGAGCCCUCAAUUGCCAAUCGAGAAAGAUCUGUGUUUUUGAAAGCACAAUUAUAAAACACAUUUAGGUUUUCACCUCUUUUGCCCAGAUAGACCUGGGCAAAAAACAUCGUGUGUUUCUGAAGACCACAGCGUUGGCUUCCUUCACUGGGAGUCACUGGUCCCCAAAAGCUGUAGCUUCAGAAGUUUCCAGAACCGAACCUGGAUGACUAAGUGCUAAGCACUGACUCACCUUGCCCCACCCUGCUCCCCGGUGAAUCAGUGAUCUACCUUUGAGGACUUCUCACCACUGUCUCUGAUGUCAGGCUUGUAAAUUCCAAAGGGUUCAACGGUUGAUGAAGGCUCAGGGGUAGGGUCCGGAACCAGGAGAAAGGAGAGAAGGUAGGUGAGGGCGUGUGCCAGGUGCUACUCACUGCUUACCCUGUCCUGUAAUCUUGUGUGUGGUGUGUGUGUGUGUGUGUGUGUGCGUGCACGCGCUUGUGUGUGCGUGUAUGAGGUGGUGCCCAACUUUCCCAGCCUGCUCAUGACAAAGGAGCAAAAGCAUGGCAUAACCCCAGACCAGCAUUGUCCAGUAAAGGCACAACUACCAGCCACAAAUGCAAGCCAGGUCUGUGAUUCUAAAUGUUCCAACAGGCAUGUUGAAAAACGUAAAGAGGAACAGGGGAACUUAAUUUUAAUAAUCUAUUUUAAUCCAAUAUAUCCAAAAUACUAUCAUUUCAACUUGUAAUUAACAUUAAAGGUUAUUAGUGAGAUUUUUA